AGUAUUUUGACUAUACAAAGGUAUUGAAAUAAGAUUUUAAUUGAAUGCUAAGAGAAUGGAAUUUCAGGAAAAAACUUUUUUCAAGUUAAAAAUUGAAAUUUUUUCAAUUUGUGCAGAAACAAUUAUUAAUAUUAAGGACAAGAAGACCCUAUGAAUUUAUAAAUUUUAUUUAAUAUGUAACUACUAUUGAAAAAAUUUUAGCUGGGGCGGCGGAAAAAUAUUUAAAACUUUUUUAAAAUAAAAUGACCCAUUAUUAAUGAUUAUAUGUUAAAUA
rnacentral:rRNA from 1 species